rnacentral:rRNA from 2 species
CGGGACACGUGGUAUCCUGUCUGAAUAUGGGGGGACCAUCCUCCAAGGCUAAAUACUCCUGACUGACCGAUAGUGAACCAGUACCGUGAGGGAAAGGCGAAAAGAACCCCGGCGAGGGGAGUGAAAAAGAACCUGAAACCGUGUACGUACAAGCAGUGGGAGCACGCUUAGGCGUGUGACUGCGUACCUUUUGUAUAAUGGGUCAGCGACUUAUAUUCUGUAGCAAGGUUAACCGAAUAGGGGAGCCGAAGGGAAACCGAGUCUUAACUGGGCGUUAAGUUGCAGGGUAUAGACCCGAAACCCGGUGAUCUAGCCAUGGGCAGGUUGAAGGUUGGGUAACACUAACUGGAGGACCGAACCGACUAAUGUUGAAAAAUUAGCGGAUGACUUGUGGCUGGGGGUGAAAGGCCAAUCAAACCGGGAGAUAGCUGGUUCUCCCCGAAAGCUAUUUAGGUAGCGCCUCGUGAAUUCAUCUCCGGGGGUAGAGCACUGUUUCGGCAAGGGGGUCAUCCCGACUUACCAACCCGAUGCAAACUGCGAAUACCGGAGAAUGUUAUCACGGGAGACACACGGCGGGUGCUAACGUCCGUCGUGAAGAGGGAAACAACCCAGACCGCCAGCUAAGGUCCCAAAGUCAUGGUUAAGUGGGAAACGAUGUGGGAAGGCCCAGACAGCCAGGAUGUUGGCUUAGAAGCAGCCAUCAUUUAAAGAAAGCGUAAUAGCUCACUGGUCGAGUCGGCCUGCGCGGAAGAUGUAACGGGGCUAAACCAUGCACCGAAGCUGCGGCAGCGACGCUUAUGCGUUGUUGGGUAGGGGAGCGUUCUGUAAGCCUGUGAAGGUGUACUGUGAGGUAUGCUGGAGGUAUCAGAAGUGCGAAUGCUGACAUAAGUAACGAUAAAGCGGGUGAAAAGCCCGCUCGCCGGAAGACCAAGGGUUCCUGUCCAACGUUAAUCGGGGCAGGGUGAGUCGACCCCUAAGGCGAGGCCGAAAGGCGUAGUCGAUGGGAAACAGGUUAAUAUUCCUGUACUUGGUGUUACUGCGAAGGGGGGACGGAGAAGGCUAUGUUGGCCGGGCGACGGUUGUCCCGGUUUAAGCGUGUAGGCUGGUUUUCCAGGCAAAUCCGGAAAAUCAAGGCUGAGGCGUGAUGACGAGGCACUACGGUGCUGAAGCAACAAAUGCCCUGCUUCCAGGAAAAGCCUCUAAGCAUCAGGUAACAUCAAAUCGUACCCCAAACCGACACAGGUGGUCAGGUAGAGAAUACCAAGGCGCUUGAGAGAACUCGGGUGAAGGAACUAGGCAAAAUGGUGCCGUAACUUCGGGAGAAGG